rnacentral:rRNA from 1 species
AUGUCCACCAAGAAGGACUCGUUAGCCGGCGCGAAGACCCACGUCACCCAGCUGUGUGGGGGCUUGGGCAUCCAAGUCCGGGGGGAGGGGGGGCACCUUCCCGAAGAUGAGUUUCCCCGAUUCUGUCAAGGGGUGGCAGGGGACAUGGUUUUAUUGCAGGGAUGUCCCCAGCAUCCCCAACUACUCGGCAGAGAGAGUGAGGGCCCUCGAGCCCCUUUCGAUGGCGAAGGAGGAGAAGAUGGAGGUUGGCAUCUUGGCCACCACACUGGUUGGAGUCAUGAACGCCGGCGUGAAUGGCAUGGAUCUGUUGGAGAUUUUUCUCACUCGGCGGAUUCAGCCGCUGAAGGCCAGGGCUCACCCCAUGUGGCUAUUUCAGGGGCGGACCCAGGAAAAAGAUUGAGAGGGGGCAAAAAAAAGAAUGUCCAUAUUCUUGAACCAACAAGGCAAAAACAUUCAUGUAAACAAAACUACGGCAUAAUCACUUCAUUUUUCAAGCAUUGA